UACGUAGGGGGCAAGCGUUGUCCGGAUUUAUUGGGCGUAAAGAGCGUGUAGGCGGCCUGAAAGGUCAGCUGUGAAAACUCGAGGCUCAACCUCGAGACGUCGGUUGAAACCAUCUGGCUAGAGUCCGGAAGGGGCGAGUGGAAUUCCUGGUGUAGCGGUGAAAUGCGCAGAUAUCAGGAGGAACACCAAUGGCGAAGGCAGCUCGCUGGGACGUGACUGACGCUGAGACGCGAAAGCGUGGGGAGCAAACAGG
rnacentral:rRNA from 1 species